AAGUUACACUGGGUUUUGUGUGUGUGUGUGUGUGUGUGUGUCACAUUUUUGGUGAGCCAAUGGCUGGAAUGGGGUUGGACUAAUUAGAGGCAGGUGUACUUGAUUGCACUGAUACACUGGUCUACUUAUAGCCCACACUACAAACACUGCUGUGUCAUUUUGUCUCUCUGUGCAGGCCAGGGCCUAUUAUAUGCCACAGCCUAAAGGCAGCAGAGUUGCAGAGGCUGGAGUGACCACUGGCUAUAUGCUUGCAGGGUGGAGGAUCUCCCUGCCCGAGUCCUUCCUGACAGCAGACAUCAUCCUCAGCACGCUGCAGAACAUCAGAGGGUCUUGUGGUCUACCCCAAAGUCAUCGAGAGACGCAUCUGCCACGAGCUGCCCUUCAUGGCCACAGAGAACAUUAUUAAGGCGAUAGUGAAGGCAGGAGGCAACAGACAGAAGAAAAUACCCUGUGAGGAAUUCUCCUCUGAGUCAGAAUGGACACAAUAAUAAAAGUUUUGAACAUAA